AGAACCACCGCCCUGGUAACGGGGCAGGCCCCAAGAAGGCCCCGAGCCGAGUCAGGAACUCAGGGACUCAGAGUGAUGGCGAGGAGAAGCAGCCCGGCCUGGUGAUGGAGCGUGCUCUGCUCAGUGAUGAGAGAGUCCUGAAGGAAAUCCAGAGCACACUGGAGGGAGACCGCGGGUGAGGCAACGCCCAGGCCAGCUGGGGUGGGCCCGAGGCUCUGCCAGGGGGCUUGGGAACGCUGAGAGUGGAGGUCCCUGAGGUCAUGACUCCCCUGUCUUUGCCUGUGCAGGAGCCGCAACUGGCGUUCACAUCGAGCGGCCGUGGGGUGCAGCCUCGGCAAUGGCGGAGCAGAGUGAGUGGCUGAGUGUCCAGGCUGCGCGAUGAGCACACACUACUACUGAUGGCCUUUCGGGGGUCCCUGCCCCAGCCGGAGAGGCUGGUGCACAGGGCCCCGCCAGGGGCUGGGGGCAUCCCGGCUUCCACAAUGCAGCUGCUCUGGGCCUCAAGAGAGGAGAGACCCCAGUCCCCUGGGCUGCCCUUCCCGGGCCUCAUCUGUCUGGGUCCUUUGGUCAAUGUUGCACAGUUUUUAUUGCUCCCAU
rnacentral:sRNA from 1 species